rnacentral:misc_RNA from 1 species
GAUGAAGAACGUAGUGAAAUGCGAUAAGUAAUGUGAAUUGCAGAAUUCAGUGAAUCAUCGAAUCUUUGAACGCACAUUGCGCCCGCCAGUAUUCUGGCGGGCAUGCCUGUUCGAGCGUCAUUACAACCCUCAGGCCCCCGGGCCUGGCGUUGGGGAUCGGCGGAGCCCCCCGUGGGCACACGCCGUCCCCCAAAUACAGUGGCGGUCCCGCCGCAGCUUCCAUCGCGUAGUAGCUAACACCUCGCGACUGGAGAGCGGCGCGGCCACGCCGUAAAACACCCAACUCUUCUGAAGUUGACCUCGAAUCAGGUAGGAAUACCCGCUGAACUUAAGCAUAUCAAAAGCGGAGGA